GCCCUGCCAUGGAGUAAGUCAACAACCAGGACUUCUUUCGACACUGUAGUUGCCUCUUCCCUGAUGGGAGGCAAGGGCAGAUGUGAUAGCUGGGGAUUGCAUGACUGAGCUCUGACUGCCUGGCUGUGGCUUCCAUUCCCACCAUCUCUAGAAAACCGAGCACUGUGAUUUGUAUUGGGAGGUGAACUUGGGUAAAAGUCUUCAGGUGGUACAGGUUUUGAAGUCAUGAAGGAGUUGUGACAAGCAGCUGGGCUUGGCACUGGGUAGCAGGCCUGGAGUCCCUGGAGAGAGGCCAUUAGUGAAGGUACAGCCUCAGUCGCAAUCAAAGCCCUGGGAUUUGGGGCUGUGAGAGAAGGGGCCGUGGAGAAAAGUUGAGGUCUGGUACCAUUUAGCCGGAUUAGAGUCCAGGAAGAGAGUCUAGGAGAGUUACUGGUGAGGAUACAGCCUUGUUACACUGGCAUCCCCAGAAUUUCAGAGGAGCUGGGGUCAUGGGAUUACCACCAAGGACAACAGCAGUUAUGGAACAGAACUAGGCUGGGCCUGGGAGACAAGCCAUGUGUGCUGUGGAUGUCAGACUUGGAGAAGUGGCCCUUUAGCGCCCAGAGGAGAGUGAUCGAUGCCCAGACACUGGGGACGGAGUUAUUUACACUGUUGGACUUUGGUUUUGCUUGGGUUUGCCUGUGACUACCCUGAUCAUUCCUGCUUGGGUUAAUUAUUCCUGCUGUGACUUCCUUCAAUGAUGGAGCAUGACCCAGGCGCUGUAAACUGGAAUUAGCCCUUUCCUUCCCAAGCAGCUCUCGGUUAUCAGAGCAACAGAAACCCUAAGACACCUUCGCAUGGAGACUGGCAUCUGAGGAAUCAGUCAGACACUGUCUCUAGGAAGCAGUCUUGGGUCCUCCUGUCCUUGGCUAAACACCCCUGCCACCCCCAUCUCCCUCCAUCAUGGGCUUCACUCAUACCCCCAGCUUGGGGGCAGCAGAAGCAGCCGAGUGGCAGAGGGAAUCUCUACACAUGCCCUCCCUCUAGAGAGCCAGACAGGAAGUAUUUUGAACUCGUAUGGCCCCUGUAGCAGCCCACUUGGCCUACAGUUCUAGUUAAAGCAACCACGAACUGUUCGUGCAGAGGGGCCAAGUGUGACUCUGUCCAAUAAAGCUUUAUUUAUGGAUGCUGGAAUUUGACUUUAAUAGAAUUUUUAUGUGUCACAAGAUAUUCUUGUUUUAAGUUCAUUCCCCCAGUGGUUUAAAAAUAUAAAAAACAUUCUUAGAUUUCAAGCUGU
rnacentral:lncRNA from 1 species